GGGCUGGUAGCUCAGUUGGUUAGAGCUGCGGACUUUUAAUCCGUAGGUCGCGGGUUCGAGUCCCGCCCGGCCCA
rnacentral:tRNA from 1 species